rnacentral:tRNA from 1 species
GGGCGAUUAGCUCAGUUGGUAGAGCGUCUCGUUUACACGGAAAUUCCCCGCUCGAUCCAUCGCCUU